rnacentral:lncRNA from 1 species
UGGAGACCUGCCGGAUGUAGGUGCUGACGUUCCCCCUCUAGCUUGCAGGGUAGACUCAAGCCCCGCUGGACAGAGGUGAAGAAUUGUGGACAUGGGGCACUUGGCAGGGCUCUGGGUGGGAGAGGUGUGGCUUGGGCCACCUGAUGGCUGACGGUGGACAUUCAGUGCGAGGAUCGUCCCGUGCCCCCCAGGCUCCAGUGCCCACCACCAGCUGAGCCGCACCGGCCCCUGGUGGGCUGGCGACAUGGCACAGGCUGCUCCCACGGUGGCACCAAGAAUGGAGCAGGGGCUGACAAGCCAGCAGAGCAGCAGCACGCAGACUGACUGACCACAGGAAAAGGCCGGAUGUGAAGCACAGCUCCCCAGCUCUGCCUGCACAGUGUGGGCCAAGAGCCUGUGACGGCAUGAACUUCCACCCGCUCCGUUGCUGCCGUCGUCACCUCCCGUUCCCCAAGCCCACGGUCGUCAGAAGCUGGGUGCCGUGUCUUCACUGGCACUGAGCUCUGCCCAGGUCUUUGCCACAGGUGUGUCACAUCAGCGACUCUUGGCUGCCGUGAGCGAGGUGGCCCCAGCAACAGAACUGAGCCGUGUCCAGCUCUGGGGGCAGGAGGCUCAAGGGUAACCUCCCAUCCUGUGGCCAAGAGUAGUCAGCAGACGCUCCCUAAGGGACAUCAUUGUGUGUGCCCAAGCCCAGCAGCACACGUGGCUGACAAGCUGCUGGCAGCUGAGAAGUUCCACAUGGGGCUGGACAGUGGGGUCACCAGUAUCACAGGGUCACAGGCUGCUGGCAGGAAGGGCUGAUGGUGGUCCUUGGGAUCCAGGCGUGGUGAACAAAUGGCCCCCAAUGUCCAUACCCAAAUUCCUGGAUUUCACGAGUGUUGUGUUGUGUGAGGGAUGACCUUGGUAUAAUCAAGAUGGGGCACCUUAAAAUAGGCAGUUAUCCUGGACUACCUAGAGGGCCCCGUCCGACCACAUGAGCCUUUGAGGGCAGAGAAGUUUCCUGGCUGGAAGCGACAGAAGUGAGGCAGGGGGUCAGCAAGAGCUGAGGCCAAGAGCCCAGCCCACUCUGCUGGCUUUAAAGGUGGAGGGGCCAGAACACGUGGUGUCCCUCAUGCUGAGAAGGAGCCCCAGCUGAUGGACAGGGAGCACACAGAGCCUCUCCCACCACCACAGCCUGAGUGAGCAUCCUGCCGAGAACCAGCCAACUGGCUCCGUAUUUCAAACCAGAGCAGGAAACCCAUGAGGCCAGUCCAAGAGCUGACUGCAGACGGGGACAGUACAUUUGUGCUGUCUCUGUUGCUAGACGGAUGCUAACUUGCUACAGCAGCAACAGUGAGCACUAGGUGUCCACUGCCUUUAGUACCAGAGGUGAGGUCGGCUUUAACGUCCCUCCCGGCACCCUCACUGACACUUCUGCAGGGCCUGGGGUCAGGCGGGCAGCACGUGCCUCGUGGUCUGCUCCAGGACUGAGCUCCUGUUUCUACUUGGUGUCUUGUGGAGUGCUGGCUAUUGGACUGGUGGCACUGGCCCUCUGCUUUUGCCCAGCAAGGAACAUGCUAGGAAGGCCUGCCACAGGACAAGCCACCUGUGGUGGGCCCAUGUCACCUCUCUGUAGACCAGUGGGCAGCCUGCCCCUGCCCAGCGGGCCUAGCCAGGACCAGCCCUGCCUGAUGCUCCAGAGCUGGAGCAGCAAGCACCCCUGCGUGUCACCAAGGUCUGGACAUCACUUGUCUCGUGUCACCAUGGUGGCACCAGGUCAGGCACAGUGGCCUGAAGGGAUUUGGGUCCGGCCGUCAGUGGCUUUACUCUUCUGGCUUUCUCCCGCCCCAGCCGACGUUCCAACCUCAGUUAGCAGGCUCCUCUCUCCUCCUCCCACUCACUCAGUCAGCUUUGACUUCCUAAUAUUAGGGGCUUCUCCUGUCCUGAAUCAGAGGCAGCUCUUCAGGUGCAAGUCCUCUGGGGAAUCAGGCCAGGACUCCUCCAUUGAGGGUGAACAUAGCAGAAGUCCACUGCUGUGGGCACCCUGAGUGGCCUCCUGCCCUCAGGAGCUUGGGUGCCGUGGAGUGGUCAGGGCGCCAGAAGGAGCUUCAGAACCAGGAGAAGAGACGGCUGUGGUCCUGGUCUCUCAGACACAGGCCUCCCCCACCUGUGCCCCUGACCACCAGUCCCAGACAGCCUCGCAGGACUCCAAAACACGUGCCACACACCCUCCAAGACGGCCGAGCCUGGCGAGGCUUUCCUCUGGCACCUGCAUCUUCACGUUGUCA